UACGGGGGGGGCAAGCGUUGUUCGGAAUUACUGGGCGUAAAGGGCUCGUAGGCGGCCAACUAAGUCCGACGUGAAAUCCCCAGGCUUAACCUGGGAACUGCGUCGGAUACUGGAUGGCUUGAAUUCGGGAGAGGGAUGCAGAAUUCCAGGUGCAGCGGUGAAAUGCGUAGAUAUCUGGAGGAAUACCGGUGGCGAAGGCGGCAUCCUGGACCGACAUUGACGCUGAUGAGCGAAAGCUAGGGGAGCAAACGGG
rnacentral:rRNA from 1 species